AUCUGGGGAAUCGCUCGGCUCGAGUACCGAAGAAGGUCGUGACAAGCUGCGAUAAGCUCCGGGGAGAUGCAUGAAUAUCUUGGAUCCGGAGAUGGCUGAAUGGGACUUCCUGUUCUUUCGGAACAAUCGCAACAGCGAUAGGGAACCCCCCGAAUUGAAGCAUCUUAGUAGGGGGAGGAA
rnacentral:rRNA from 1 species